rfam:Schistosoma mansoni, Puerto Rico, WGS project CABG01000000 data, contig: 0154
AGCUUUUUGAAUCGGUGCUGAGAUUUCGUCAGAUACCAUCCCAUUAGGGCUGAUCAGACUUCGAAGAUAAGUUUAAAACU